rnacentral:rRNA from 1 species
CCUACGGGAGGCAGCAGUGGGGGAUAUUGCACAAUGGGGGGAACCCUGAUGCAGCGACGCCGCGUGGGUGAAGAAGCGCCCCGGCGCGUAAAGCCCUGUCAGCAGGGAAGAAGAGGGACGGUACCUGACCAAGAAGCCCCGGCUAACUACGUGCCAGCAGCCGCGGUAAUACGUAGGGGGCAAGCGUUAUCCGGAUUUACUGGGUUUAAAGGGGGCGCAGACGGCGAGGCAAGCCAGG